GUGUCAGCAGCCGCGGUAAUACGGAGGGGGCUAGCGUUGUUCGGAAUUACUGGGCGUAAAGCGCACGUAGGCGGCUUUGUAAGUUAGAGGUGAAAGCCCGGGGCUCAACUCCGGAAUUGCCUUUAAGACUGCAUCGCUAGAAUUGUGGAGAGGUAAGUGGAAUUCCGAGUGUAGAGGUGAAAUUCGUAGAUAUUCGGAAGAACACCAGUGGCGAAGGCGACUUACUGGACACAUAUUGACGCUGAGGUGCGAAAGCGUGGGGAGCAAACAGGAUUAGAUACCCCGGUAGUCC
rnacentral:rRNA from 1 species